AUCCAGAUGUCACGUCCCAAAUAGAACGAAACGCGCGUCAAACUGGAU
rnacentral:hammerhead_ribozyme from 1 species